UACAGAGGAUGCAAGCGUUAUCCGGAAUGAUUGGGCGUAAAGCGUCUGUAGGUGGCUUUUUAAGUCCGCCGUCAAAUCCCAGGGCUCAACCCUGGACAGGCGGUGGAAACUACCAAGCUGGAGUACGGUAGGGGCAGAGGGAAUUUCCGGUGGAGCGGUGAAAUGCGUAGAGAUCAUGAGGAAGACCAGUGGCGAAGGCGGGUCUCUGGACAGUUCCUGACACUGAGGCACGAAGGCCAGGGGAGCAAACGGG
rnacentral:rRNA from 1 species